AAUUUGAAAUCUGGCCCCUUCGGGGUCCGAGUUGUAAUUUGUAGAGAGUGCUUCGGGGGAGACCGCGGUCUAAGUCCAUUGGAACAUGGCGUCCCAGAGGGUGAGAAUCCCGUAUGUGACCGUGGCUCGAACCCAUGUGAAGCCUCUUCGACGAGUCGAGUUGUUUGGGAAUGCAGCUCAAAAUGGGUGGUAAAUUUCAUCUAAAGCUAAAUACGGGCUGGAGACCGAUAGCGCACAAGUAGAGUGAUCGAAAGAUGAAAAGCACUUUGGAAAGAGAGUCAAAAAGUACGUGAAAUUGUUGAAAGGGAAGCGCUGGCAACCAGACCUGCCCGUAGGCGAUCAGCCGCUGUUCUCAGCGGUGCACUCGCUCUGCGAUCAGGCCAGCAUCGGUUCCGGCGGUCGGAUAAAGGCCUUGGGAACGUACCUUCCCUUCGGGGGAGUCUUAUAGCCCUCGGUGCAAUGCGGCCAGCCGGGACCGAGGACCGCGCUUCGGCUAGGAUGCUGGCGUAAUGGUUGUCAGCGACCC
rnacentral:rRNA from 1 species